UACAGAGGGUGCGAGCGUUAAUCGGAAUUACUGGGCGUAAAGCGUACGCAGGCGGCUUUGCAAGACAGGUGUGAAAUCCCCGGGCCUAACCUGGGAACUGCAUUUGUGACUGCAUGGCUAGAGUUUGUCAGAGGGGGGUGGAAUUCCACGUGUAGCAGUGAAAUGCGUAGAUAUGUGGAGGAACACCGAUGGCGAAGGCAGCCCCCUGGGAUGUGACUGACGCUCAUGUACGAAAGCGUGGGGAGCAAACAGG
rnacentral:rRNA from 1 species